GCAGUCACACUGGUAGAAAGACCGCCGCGUGUGAAAAAGGUUGGAGUGUGCUGCAAAACACAAAAUGCAAUAAAAUAAAUUGUACAAUACUGCGGCUUCGCGCGUCGUGUGAUAACAAAGAUAAUGCAAUAUUAAAAGAGCGAGAGAAACGUGACCCGGGCAAUUGUUUUUUUGCCUGCUACAUAUUUGAGAGUAUAUGAAAGUGUAUAUAUAUUAUAUAUAUGUAUAUAUGCGCUAAUGUGUGUGAGUGUGAGCAGCAGCAAUCGUAGUAAAUAGUAUUGGUAUCCGCCUCCGCGUUGCAAUAGUUGCCGUCGCGUUUUUUGUGUGUUCGCCUGCUUCAACAAUAAUUAAAAAAAAAAUUCCAAUUACAGUUAGGGCUCUUCUAUUUUACCUUGUUAUCGCCAAAUCUCUCACACACCCCUUUCCCCAUCGCCCACUCGCGCACACGGAAGAGUCGCCGCAGUCGGCAUCAGCAAAAAACCGCUGUCGCCGUGCAGUAAAUGUGCAUAUUUUAAGUUGCCAAAAUGUCCUCAACUCUCCUUUAAAUAAUCUAUAAAAAAAGUGUGAAAAAGAAAACGUGAACAACGAUAGAAAGAAAGAAAGCGGGAAAGAAAGGAAAACAACAAAUGGCUCACAAUUGAAUGGCGGCCAUCGUGGCCCCCAGCGGCAUCCAUUGAGCAAUCAACACCAUUUCACCCACAUCAAAUCAUCAGGCAUCACCACCUUUACCACGGAUACCACCUCAGAGACCGCCAACGCCACUCGCCAUUCGCCACUGCCACCAGCACGCACCACUCCACACUCCACUGAGCUCCAUCUGCCUCCAGCAACGGCAAAAGCAGCCAUAAGCAGAAUUGGAAUCAGAAUCAGCGACACUGCGAGUGCAGCUGCUCAAAUUAUUUAAACCACUCGCUGCCGUAGUCCAUCAAUGAGCGUUUCGAUGUCACUGGUACAGGGUGGUGCUGCCGGUGGUGCGCCACAGGGCGCCAGCGCAAUAUUGGCCGCAGCGGCCCCCUAUUACCAGCCGCCAGCUGUGCCGCAGGAUGUCCAGCCGGAUCGUCCCAUCGGCUAUGGUGCAUUUGGAGUAGUAUGGGCUGUAACAGAUCCGCGGGAUGGAAGACGUGUGGCCUUGAAGAAGCUGCCAAAUGUGUUCCAGUCUUUAGUCUCCUCGAAGCGCGUGUUCCGUGAGCUUAAAAUGCUCUGCUUUUUCAAGCAUGAGAAUGUUCUUUCUGCCCUGGACAUCUUGCAGCCUCCACAUUUGGAUUUCUUUCAGGAAAUAUAUGUGAUAACGGAGCUGCUGCAAUCGGAUCUGCACAAGAUAAUCGUUUCGCCACAGCACCUAUCCGCCGACCACAUUAAGGUGUUCCUCUACCAGAUACUGCGUGGCCUCAAGUAUCUGCACUCGGCUCGCAUCCUUCAUCGCGACAUCAAGCCAGGAAAUCUCCUGGUCAACUCGAACUGCGUGCUCAAAAUAUGCGACUUCGGACUGGCCCGCGUGGAGGAGCCGGAUCAGGCGAAACACAUGACCCAGGAGGUGGUCACCCAGUACUACCGCGCCCCGGAGAUCCUCAUGGGGGCGCGGCACUACUCGUCGGCGGUAGACGUGUGGUCGGUGGGCUGCAUAUUCGGGGAGCUGCUGGGCCGACGCAUUCUGUUCCAGGCGCAAAACCCCGUCCAACAGCUUGAGCUGAUCACGGAGCUGCUGGGAACUCCCACCAUGGAGGACAUGCGGCACGCCUGCGAGGGGGCGCGCACCCACAUGCUGCGCCGCGCACCCAAGCCACCCUCUUUCUCGGUGCUGUACACCCUCAGUUCCCAUGCCACACAUGAGGCGGUGCACCUGCUCUGCCAGAUGCUUGUCUUCGAUCCGGACAAGCGAAUUUCUGUCACAGAUGCCCUAGCGCAUCCAUAUCUGGACGAAGGACGACUCCGCUACCACUCGUGCAUGUGCAAAUGCUGCUUUACUACCUCAGCUGGGAUGCGCCAAUACACAGCCGACUUUGAACCCUCCGCCGGCCAGCCCUUUGACGAUCUGUGGGAACGUAAGCUCACUUCCGUGCAGCAGGUCAAGGAGGAGAUGCACAAGUUCAUUGCCGAGCAACUGCAGACAGGUCGGGUGCCGCUCUGCAUCAACCCACAGAGUGCGGCCUUCAAGAGCUUUGCCAGCCAAUGAGAAUGAGAAUAUCUACUACUACCACUACCACUACUACCACCACCACAAGUUGCACUGCUGCUCCUGCCGCUGCUCCACUCCGCCGCCGCCUACUUCUUCGCUGCCCUCAAAGAACCGAAAUCGAAACAAGACUACAUCUCGAGAGUCCAAGAUCCUAGGCGCGCGAUCUCCCACUAGAACGAAUCGAAAUAGCAAUGCAGAGUCACAAGAUACUCGAUAUACUUUAUCUGCAGAACGAUCGAAGAAAAUGAAAUCCAAGCCAAGCCAAGAUACAUAUACCAAGAUACCAAGAAAAAUACAAUACAGAUACAGAGGCCAAGCGCCUGGCAGCAGUUGUGUCUCGACUCCUCUUAGUUCGACUGUGGCUCAUCCUUCAGAAUUGCCGCCAUCGCCGCAUCAAUGGGAAUGACGGCAAAAUGAGGCCAUUGCUGCCUAAAAGCGAAAUAAAAGCAAGUGUAAAUCAGCAGCCAAACCAUCAGGAAGGAGCUAUCAGACGCAUCUGCAGUAGGAGUCCCAGAACCUGAACCGAACCCCAAGAGACAACCCAGAUAAAAUUCAGCCAGGAACAACGAUUCAAAAUGUUGUGCAAGCGCCAAACAACUUUCAAGUCGGCGUUCGUCUGUUUAAAGCAUUCCACCACCGAAAUUAACUACAUAAAAAAGCAAAACAAAUAAUUUAUAUUUAAUAAUACUGUAGA